GGCUGGUCCAAAGGUAGUGGUUAUCUCCCUUGAUUGUUCACAAUCAGUUACAGAGUGAACUCCUCCUUCUGCCACUCUCCCCCCUUUUCACUCCUGCACUUGACUAGUCUUAA
rnacentral:Y_RNA from 1 species